CGGAGCGUGGCGCAGUUGGUAGCGCGCGGCGUUUGGGACGCUGAGGUCGCAAGUUCGAGUCUUGUCGCUCCGACCA
rnacentral:tRNA from 1 species